rnacentral:rRNA from 1 species
GUUUGAUCAUGGCUCAGAUUGAACGCUGGCGGCAGGCUUAACACAUGCAAGUCGAGCGGGGGAAGGUAGCUUGCUACUGGACCUAGCGGCGGACGGGUGAGUAAUGCUUAGGAAUCUGCCUAUUAGUGGGGGACAACAUCUCGAAAGGGAUGCUAAUACCGCAUACGUCCUACGGGAGAAAGCAGGGGAUCUUCGGACCUUGCGCUAAUAGAUGAGCCUAAGUCGGAUUAGCUAGUUGGUGGGGUAAAGGCCUACCAAGGCGACGAUCUGUAGCGGGUCUGAGAGGAUGAUCCGCCACACUGGGACUGAGACACGGCCCAGACUCCUACGGGAGGCAGCAGUGGGGAAUAUUGGACAAUGGGGGGAACCCUGAUCCAGCCAUGCCGCGUGUGUGAAGAAGGCCUUAUGGUUGUAAAGCACUUUAAGCGAGGAGGAGGCUACUUUAGUUAAUACCUAGAGAUAGUGGACGUUACUCGCAGAAUAAGCACCGGCUAACUCUGUGCCAGC